CCUACGGGAGACAGCAGUGAGGAAUAUUGGUCAAUGGACGCAAAUCUGAACCAGCCAUGCCGCGUGCAGGAAGACGGCUCUAUGAGUUGUAAACUGCUUUUGUACGAGGGUAAACGCAGAUACGCGUAUCUGUCUGAAAGUAUCGUACGAAUAAGGAUCGGCUAACUCCGUGCCAGCAGCCGCGGUAAUACGGAGGAUUCAAGCGUUAUCCGGAUUUAGUGGGUUUAAAGGGUGCGUAGGCGGUCGGAUAAGUUAGAGGUGAAAUCCCGAGGCUCAACUUCGGAAUUGCCUCUGAUACUGUUCGGCUAGAGAGUAGGUGCGGUAGGCGGAAUGUAUGGUGUAGCGGUGAAAUGCUUAGAGAUCAUACAGAACACCGAUUGCGAAGGCAGCUUACCAAGCUACUUCUGACGUUGAGGCACGAAAGCGUGGGGAGCAAACAGGAUUAGAUACCCGAGUAGUC
rnacentral:rRNA from 1 species